rnacentral:rRNA from 1 species
AGCUUGACUGCGAGCGUGACGGCGCGAGCAGGUGCGAAAGCAGGUCAUAGUGAUCCGGUGGUUCUGAAUGGAAGGGCCAUCGCUCAACGGAUAAAAGGUACUCCGGGGAUAACAGGCUGAUACCGCCCAAGAGUUCAUAUCGACGGCGGUGUUUGGCACCUCGAUGUCGGCUCAUCACAUCCUGGGGCUGAAGUAGGUCCCAAGGGUAUGGCUGUUCGCCAUUUAAAGUGGUACGCGAGCUGGGUUUAGAACGUCGUGAGACAGUUCGGUCCCUA